rfam:Rattus norvegicus chromosome 3, whole genome shotgun sequence.
GGGGAUUUAGCUCAGUGGUAGAGCGCUUGCCUAGCAAACUCGAGGCCCUGGGUUCAGUCCCCAGCUCCG